rnacentral:tRNA from 1 species
GGAUAGCUCAGUUGGUAGAGCAUGAUUUCAGGGUUGUGGGUUCAAGCCCCACGUUGGGCA